rnacentral:misc_RNA from 1 species
UUUCCGUAGGUGAACCUGCGGAAGGAUCAUUACAGAGUUCAUGCCCUCACGGGUAGAUCUCCCACCCUUGAAUAUUUAUACCCUAGUUGCUUUGGCAGGCCGUGGAAACACCAUGGGCUCCGGCUUAUGCGUACCUGCCAGAGGAAACAAACUCUGUUCUUAGUGAUGUCUGAGUACUAUAUAAUAGUUAAAACUUUCAACAACGGAUCUCUUGGUUCUG